rnacentral:rRNA from 1 species
CACGUAGGGUGCGAGCGUUGUCCGGAAUUACUGGGCGUAAAGCGUGCGCAGGCCGCUAUGUAAGACAGAUGUGAAAUCCCCGGGCUUAACCUGGGAACUGCAUUUGUGACUGCAUGGCUAGAGUACGGCAGAGGGGGAUGGAAUUCCGCGUGUAGCAGUGAAAUGCGUAGAUAUGCGGAGGAACACCGAUGGCGAAGGCAAUCCCCUGGGCCAGUCCUGACGCUGAGCCGCGAAGGCGUGGGGAGCGAUCCGG